rnacentral:rRNA from 1 species
ACUCCUACGGGAGGCAGCAGUAGGGAAUCUUCCACAAUGGGCGCAAGCCUGAUGGAGCAACACCGCGUGAGUGAAGAAGGGUUUCGGCUCGUAAAGCUCUGUUGUUAAAGAAGAACACGUAUGAGAGUAACUGUUCAUACGUUGACGGUAUUUAACCAGAAAGUCACGGCUAACUACGUGCCAGCAGCCGCGGUAAUACGUAGGUGGCAAGCGUUAUCCGGAUUUAUUGGGGCGUAAAGAGAGUGCAGGCGGUUUUCUAAGUCUGAUGUGAAAGCCUUCGGCUUAACCGGAGAAGUGCAUCGGAAACUGGAUAACUUGAGUGCAGAAGAGGGUAGUGGAACUCCAUGUGUAGCGGUGGAAUGCGUAGGUAUAUGGAAGAACACCAGUGGCGAAGGCGGCUACCUGGUCUGCAACUGACGCUGAGACUCGAAAGCAUGGGUAGCGAACAGGAUUAGAUACCCUGGUAGGAUAGCG